CCAUCUCCUCUAAAUUCAAAGAAUACCAAUCGUCUCAAUCGUAUUGGCGCCAAAAAAAUCAUUUGAUUCAAGGUGAAUCGAAGGCUUUUAAAGGAUUUGGUUAUAAUCGCAUAGGUUUCGCCGGUUGUCAAAAUAGACAAUUUAUUAUGAUAAUUAUUCUUUUCUUUUUUUUUCUAUCGUCUUUAAAUUUAUUAAUUAUUACAAAUUGUGAGAAUUGUUACAAAGAUAAUCUACCAUGGGCAAUUCCUUCCGACAAUAUUAGAUUCACUAUUGACAACACUCCUUUGC
rnacentral:lncRNA from 1 species